rnacentral:rRNA from 1 species
GACGAACGCUGGCGGCGUGCUUAACACAUGCAAGUCGAACGGAAAGGCCCUGCUUUUGUGGGUGCUCGAGUGGCGAACGGGUGAGUAACACGUGAGUAACCUGCCCUUGACUUUGGGAUAACUUCAGGAAACUGGGGCUAAUACCGGAUAGGAGCUCCUGCUGCAUGGUGGGGGUUGGAAAGUUUCGGCGGUUGGGGAUGGACUCGCGGCUUAUCAGCUUGUUGGUGGGGUAGUGGCUUACCAAGGCUUUGACGGGUAGCCGGCCUGAGAGGGCGACCGGCCACAUUGGGACUGAGAUACGGCCCAGACUCCUACGGGAGGCAGCAGUGGGGAAUAUUGCACAAUGGGCGGAAGCCUGAUGCAGCAACGCCGCGUGCGGGAUGACGGCCUUCGGGUUGUAAACCGCUUUCGCCUGUGACGAAGCGUGAGUGACGGUAAUGGGUAAAGAAGCACCAGCUAACUACGUG